GUACGAACGCUGGCGGCGUGCUUAACACAUGCAAGUCGAACGGAAAGGCCCUGCUUUUGUGGGGUGCUCGAGUGGCGAACGGGUGAGUAACACGUGAGUAACCUGCCCUUGACUUUGGGAUAACUUCAGGAAACUGGGGCUAAUACCGGAUAGGAGCUCCUGCUGCAUGGUGGGGGUUGGAAAGUUUCGGCGGUUGGGGAUGGACUCGCGGCUUAUCAGCUUGUUGGUGGGGUAGUGGCUUACCAAGGCUUUGACGGGUAGCCGGCCUGAGAGGGUGACCGGCCACAUUGGGACUGAGAUACGGCCCAGACUCCUACGGGAGGCAGCAGUGGGGAAUAUUGCACAAUGGGCGGAAGCCUGAUGCAGCAACGCCGCGUGCGGGAUGACGGCCUUCGGGUUGUAAACCGCUUUCGCCUGUGACGAAGCGUGAGUGACGGUAAUGGGUAAAGAAGCACCGGCUAACUACGUGCCAGCAGCCGCGGUGAUACGUAGGGUGCGAGCGUUGUCCGGAUUUAUUGGGCGUAAAGGGCGCGUAGGUGGUUGAUCGCGUCGGAAGUGUAAUCUUGGGGCUUAACCCUGAGCGUGCUUUCGAUACGGGUUGACUUGAGGAAGGUAGGGGAGAAUGGAAUUCCUGGUGGAGCGGUGGAAUGCGCAGAUAUCAGGAGGAACACCAGUGGCGAAGGCGGUUCUCUGGGCCUUUCCUGACGCUGAGGAGCGAAAGCGUGGGGAGCGAACAGGCUUAGAUACCCUGGUAGUCCACGCUGUAAACGGUGGGUACUAGGUGUGGGGUCCAUUCCACGGGUUCCGUGCCGUAGCUAACGCUUUAAGUACCCCGCCUGGGGAGUACGGCCGCAAGGCUAAAACUCAAAGGAAUUGACGGGGCCCCGCACAAGCGGCGGAGCAUGCGGAUUAAUUCGAUGCAACGCGUAGAACCUUACCUGGGUUUGACAUGGAUCGGGAGUGCUCAGAGAUGGGUGUGCCUCUUUUGGGGUCGGUUCACAGGUGGUGCAUGCCUGUCGUCAGCUCGUGUCGUGAGAUGUUGGGUUAAGUCCCGCAACGAGCGCAACCCUUGUUCACUGUUGCCAGCACGUUAUGGUGGGGACUCAGUGGAGACCGCCGGGGUCAACUCGGAGGAAGGUGGGGAUGACGUCAAGUCAUCAUGCCCCUUAUGUCCAGGGCUUCACGCAUGCUACAAUGGCUGGUACAGAGAGUGGCGAGCCUGUGAGGGUGAGCGAAUCUCGGAAAGCCGGUCUCAGUUCGGAUUGGGGUCUGCGACUCGACCUCAUGAAGUCGGAGUCGCUAGUAAUCGCAGAUCAGCAACGCUGCGGUGAAUACGUUCCCGGGGC
rnacentral:rRNA from 1 species